rnacentral:rRNA from 1 species
CCUACGGGUGGCAGCAGUGGGGAAUAUUGCACAAUGGGGGAAACCCUGAUGCAGCGACGCCGCGUGAAGGAAGAAGUAUUUCGGUAUGUAAACUUCUAUCAGCAGGGAAGAAAAUGACGGUACCUGACUAAGAAGCCCCGGCUAACUACGUGCCAGCAGCCGCGGUAAUACGUAGGGGGCAAGCGUUAUCCGGUUUUACUGGGUGGAAAGGGAGCGUAGGUGGUUUAGCAAGGCAGAAGGGAAAGCCCGGGGCUCAACUUCGGGACUGCUUUUGAAACUGUUCAACUAGAGGGCAGGAUAGGUAAGUGGACUUCCUUGUGUAGCGGUUAAAUGCGUAGAUAUUUGGAGGAACCCCAGUGGCGAAGGCGGCUUACUGGACUGUAAAUGACGCUGAGGCUCGAAAGCGUGGGGAGCAAACAGGAUUCGAUACCCCUGUAGUC